rnacentral:rRNA from 1 species
AUGAUUGAUGGUGAUUUCAUGCCUGUCCGAGGGAAAACCGUUAGAUACACCAUAAAAGAGAAUUAUCCCGGCAAAUUCUUGCCAGAACUUACCUUUACACAAGUUGAGAAAUUGAGAGCAUUGUUCCGUCCAAUUACUUCACUGCCAGUGCCAGAUGCACCACCCCUGCAUUAUGUUGACAACAGUCAUCCCGCUCCAUCUGCUCCUUUUCUGCCUCCUUCGGCUUCAUCUUCAGACCCAACACAGCCAUCUGCUUAUGUGCCUCACCCAAGCGCCUGUGUUCUCACUCCAGAUGCUCAGCUGGUGCCAAAUGAACCUUAUGCAUGCCCAGAUUCUCACCUUCCUGCUCCAACUGCUCAAUUCGCCGCGCCUGCUUACUAUGUGACCACAACUGCACAUCCGUAUCAAGCAUAUGGUGCAUCGCCUGCCACCUACCACUACGCCCAAGCGCCUCCUUUGCAACUUGUCUAUGUGCAAGCCCAACGCCCUGUGCCAGAACAUGUUACAGACCCUGCCUGUUCCUCUGAUCCCAACUAUGAUGCUAAUGGGAAUGAUCCGUAUCUAUUUGAUGCUGUGAAGUCUCAUUACCAGGAAACUACUUCUGGGAGCAACGCCAUCGCACCUGCACCACAUGACGUGGCCGUGACAAACCUGCAACUUGUCAUGCACUAUGGGUACGCCCCAGGCAGCUAUGGUGCAACCGAAGAAACUACGCAGUCCAGUGCUGAAGGAGCUGCAUCAGUGAUCUACUCCCAUGCGGGUGCCCCAGUGACCACUCAGGCUGCGCCAUCGGUGUAUGCCGUGGCAGCUGCACCGGCUAACCUGUGA